GUGAGGAAUAGGCUAGAAAACUAUACAUUCUGUUUUUAAUGCUCUAGCUAGCUGCGAAUAUAUCGUGAUUAGCAGGUAAUACUAUCAGCACCUGAUUCAUCACAUCACCUCAUCAUAUUUACCAGACUAUACCUUUAUGGUAGUAGUUUAUAUAUAUAUAUAUAUAUAUAUAUAUAUAUAUAUAUAUAUAUAUAUAUAUAUAUAUAUAUAUAUAUAUAUAUAUAUAUAUAUAUGACAGUAAUAUACGUAAAUGUUACCUCUAUUUUACCUAAGCGAUAUGUUUACAUACUAUGUAAUGGAGAGCUCAACCUACAGCACACACACACACACACACACACACACACACACACUGAACAAAUCAUACAUCAUUACUCAUCAUAAAUUAUACAUGACUUCUUCAACUCUCUCUCUCUCUCUCUCUCUCUCUCUCUCUCACUCUCUCUCUCUCUCUCUCUCUCUCUCUCUCUCUCAAAUUAUUAUAUUGCUAUUUUCAGCAUGAAAUGCUAUAAUCAUGAGCAAAGGGCAAUGUUGAAACACACACGCACACACACACACACACACACACACACACACACUUGUAAUGCAUGCAAUAUUCACAUCCGCAUUGUGAAUGGAAACAUCCGCAUUCGCGGUUUGAGAAUGAGGAUAUGACUCUACAUCGUCAUAAUUUAUAAAAUUCCUAAAAAUAUAUGAAGAUGUAUAUAUCUACAAUCGUGCACUAUUGAUCUUUGGUCAUUUGAUAAACUUUUGGAAGAGAAUAUAGCUUAUAAGACGAAUGCUAUUGGCCAUUACAUCACUGGUAUUUUAAAAUAAAUUAUGAAAAAGAAUAUCAUCGUACAGCAAUAUUUACUGUAGUAUUGGAUCUUAUAUUAUACAUUACUGUAGUACUAGAGUAGUACUACGCACUUGUCUGGCAGUGUCCCCAGUGAGCAAUUAUUCAGUGAUGUUGGACUAAUCUGAUAAAAAACGAAAGUGCAAUCAUGCAGAUAACGUAGAGGAAAUUUCUUUUCUUAAAAGUAGUUUGUCUUGUUAAAAUUUCAUUACUGAACAAAUAUGCAGUAUGAGAUUCAAGAAAUUUUGAUGAACUCUGUAUAGCAUUAAUUGGUUUUAUUCAGAUUUAGUUAAAUUUUGCCAUUCUGCAGAGGAUUCUGGCUGGGGAAAGAGGUUGGUGGGAUGCGUGGCGUGAUGGCUUGAAUCAACGUCUCGAUCGCAUCCUACUAACACAACGUUAGAUUUAGGUAUCUGAAAGUAGUUGUUUACAAUUUAAGGUAAAUAUUAUUCAAAUAUAAGAAAAUUAUUCACAUUCACGAAUAUAUAGUCAUCAGAAAUCUGUGUCAACAUCCGUAUUUUCUUUCUUCAUGACAUCAUCCGCAGCUGCAGUUCUUAAAAAUCUAAUAUUCGCAUUUGUGCAUCCAUAUUUUUAGAUUUCACACGUUUUUAACACACACACACACACACACACACACACA